rnacentral:rRNA from 1 species
CAGUCGCCACGGGAAUACGAGGGGGGCAAGCGUUGUUCGGAAUUAUUGGGCGUAAAGGGUGCGUAGGCGGUCUGAUAAGUCUUAUGUGAAAUCUCUGGGCUCAACCCAGAGUCUGCAUGGGAAACUGUCAGGCUUGAGAAUGGGAGAGGUGAGUGGAAUUUCCGGUGUAGCGGUGAAAUGCGUAGAUAUCGGAAGGAACACCUGUGGCGAAAGCGGCUCACUGGACCAUUUCUGACGCUGAUGCACGAAAGCUAGGGGAGCAAACAGGAUUAGAUACCCCAGUAGUCCCUGUCUCUUAUAC